UACGGAGGGGGCUAGCGUUGUUCGGAAUUACUGGGCGUAAAGCGCGUGUAGGCGGACCACGAAGUCGGGGGUGAAAGCCCGGGGCUCAACCUCGGUACUGCGUUCGAUACUGGUGAUCUCGAGAGAGGGAGAGGUGAGCGGAAUACCGAGUGUAGAGGUGAAAUUCGUAGAUAUUCGGAGCAACACCAGAGGCGAAGGCGGCUAACUGGACCAUUACUGACGCGGAGUCUCAAAAGCGUGGAGAACAAGCAGG
rnacentral:rRNA from 1 species